rnacentral:lncRNA from 1 species
GCUCCAGGGGAGAAUUUGUUUUUUUAUCUCUUCCAGCUUCUAGAGGCCACCUAUUUUCCUUGACUCAUGGCUCCUUCCUCUGUCUUCAAAGCUUGCAAUGGCCAGUUGAGUCUUUCACACCUCGUACGACUCUGACUCACAUUCUUCUGCCAUCUUUUUCCAUUUACAAGGACACUUGUGAUUACAUCUGUCUAUUGGGAAAAUCCAGGGUCACUUCCCCAUCUCAAGGUCAGCUGCAUCGAACACCCGGGGCUGGCUCAAUUCCUUUCUACACCUGCCAAGAAAAUCUAAGUGGAUAAUGAUGCUGACCAAUCAAUGGGCCGUGGGCAACACAGGAAAUCAGUGGGCCCGCAAAAAGCUGGGCACCACGUGUUACGGUUGGGAAAUGAAUCUUCAGUGACAGAGCCCACAGAGGAAAACACCCAAACCUGACCCUCCCUUUAACCUUGCGAGCGCUAUCACUCAGCCAGAUACCACCACUGUUUCCCGAGGACUAAGAGAGAUGGCUCUUUGCCUGGUGGAGCUGUGAGGAAGAUGAUGGGAAACGGGCAUGCUGGCAUCGGAGUUUUUCUGGAUUGGAAAAAGAGGAUUUUACUUUUCAGCACCUGCCAGCAUGAUAGGUUUGCCAAGAAUUCUACACUAAACAAACACACACGCCUACAUCACCCCUCCUCCCAAGCAGGCAUAACCCACUGGGGAAGGAAACAGCUCAGGAAGGCGGAUGGCAGGGGUUCGUGAACCUUGCUAGUUUCCAGGGCACGAUCCAUUUUAAUCUCCGCCAGAGGACUUAAAAAUCUAUUCUGUCAAUAUCUCCCUUAUUAGUAAAGUUUGGGUCCCAAAGCAAGAAAACUAAGGCUUAAUUUUGACUUAGAAGAUUGUUGUUGUUGUUUUAUUAUAAGUUUUG